rnacentral:rRNA from 1 species
AUUGAACGCUGGCGGCAGGCCUAACACAUGCAAGUCGAGCGGUAGAGAGAAGCUUGCUUCUCUUGAGAGCGGCGGACGGGUGAGUAAUGCCUAGGAAUCUGCCUGGUAGUGGGGGAUAACGUCCGGAAACGGACGCUAAUACCGCAUACGUCCUACGGGAGAAAGCAGGGGACCCUCGGGCCUUGCGCUAUCAGAUGAGCCUAGGUCGGAUUAGCUAGUUGGUGGGGUAAUGGCUCACCAAGGCGACGAUCCGUAACUGGUCUGAGAGGAUGAUCAGUCACACUGGAACUGAGACACGGUCCAGACUCCUACGGCAGGCAGCAGUGGGGAAUAUUGGACAAUGGGCGAAAGCCUGAUCCAGCCAUGCCGCGUGUGUGAAGAAGGUCUUCGGAUUGUAAAGCACUUUAAGUUGGGAGGAAGGGCAGUAAAUUAAUACUUUGCUGUUUUGACGUUACCGACAGAAUAAGCACCGGCUAACUCUGUGCCAGCCGCCGCCGUAA